GACGAACGCUGGCGGCGUGCUUAACACAUGCAAGUCGAACGAAGAGCGAUGGAAGCUUGCUUCUAUCACUCUUAGUGGCGAACGGGUGAGUAACGCGUAAUCAACCUGCCCUUCAGAGGGGGACAACAGUUGGAAACGACUGCUAAUACCGCAUACGAUCUAAUCUCGGCAUCGAGGAUAGAUGAAAGGUGGCCUCUACAUGUAAGCUAUCACUGAAGGAGGGGAUUGCGUCUGAUUAGCUAGUUGGAGGGGUAACGGCCCACCAAGGCGAUGAUCGGUAGCCGGUCUGAGAGGAUGAACGGCCACAUUGGGACUGAGACACGGCCCAGACUCCUACGGGAGGCAGCAGUGGGGAAUCUUCCGCAAGAGACGAAAGUCUGACGGAGCAACGCCGCGUGAGUGAUGACGGCCUUCGGGUUGUAAAGCUCUGUUAAUCGGGACGAAAGGCCUUCUUGCGAAUAGGGAGAAGGAUUGACGGUACCGGAAUAGAAAGCCACGGCUAACUACGUG
rnacentral:rRNA from 1 species